rnacentral:rRNA from 1 species
CCUACGGGAGGCAGCAGUGGGGAAUAUUGGACAAUGGGGGGAACCCUGAUCCAGCGACGCCGCGUGAGUGAAGAAGUAUUUCGGUAUGUAAAGCUCUAUCAGCAGGGAAGAAAGAAAUGACGGUACCUGACUAAGAAGCCCCGGCUAACUACGUGCCAGCAGCCGCGGGAAUACGUAGGGGGCAAGCGUUAUCCGGAUUUACUGGGUGUAAAGGGAGCGUAGACGGCGAUGCAAGUCUGAAGUGAAAGGCGGGGGCCCAACCCCCGGACUGCUUUGGAACCUGGAUGGCUGGAGUGCAGGAGAGGUAAGUGGAAUUUCUAGGGGUGCGGUGAAAUGCGUAGAUAUUAGGGGGAACACCAGUGGCGAAGGCGGCUUAAUGGACUUUAACUGACGUUGAGGCUCGAAAGCGUGGGGAGCAAACAGGAUUAGAUACCCUGGUAGUC